CAGAGAAUAGUUUAAUGAUAAAAUAUUAGUUUUGGGGAUUAAAGAUAGGAGCAGUUUCUUUCUCUGA
rnacentral:tRNA from 1 species